AACUAACAGAACACAAGGAGAAAGUGAAAACUCCAUACAGACGGCCUGGAAAUGGAACUCGAGUCCUCCAAGCUGUGAAGCAGCACACUCACCUCUGGGCCAUCUAAAGAAUUAAAAGCAUUCAGGGCUUGUUUUUAAUUUUCAUUGACAACUAACAAGGUUGUGGACUUUGAGCUGAACCUUAAUAUCAAUCUGUAAUAUAUAUGUUGGUCAAGUGAGCACAUUCAUCAAAGCUCAGCAAUCAUCUUCCUUUCUUGUCUGUCUGCAGGUGCAGUGCGGUGGUCAGUUUGCAUAAAGACGCCCCCCUUAGUGACGCCCAUCUCAGUUCAGCACUCUGAUUGCAUUUAUAAUUUCCUGAAGGAAACACACUCAGAAUCUACAGCCACCAUGACUGCACUGGUUCUGCUUUCUGUCUUCAUAGCCUUCAUUCAAGAUUCAAGAUGUCAGAUUUCUGUAAAUCAACCAUCAGCACCAAAGUCAGUUCCUCCUGGAGGGAGCGUCACCUUCAGCUGUACUACUGCCAGUAAUGUGGGUAACGCCAUAAACUGGUAUCAGCAGAAAUCUGGACAAACUCCUAAACUCCUGAUCUAUGCUACAUACUCUCGCUAUGGUGACACCCCGAGUCGCUUCACUGGCAGUGGGUCAGGAACUUCAUACAGUUUGACUAUCAGUGGAGUUCAGCCUGAAGACGCCGGUCACUACUACUGUCAGCAGUAUAGCAGCUACCCUUUCACACAGUGAUAGAGACUCGUACAAAAACCUCACUGAGUUGCUGUC